CGUGACAGCUGAACGUCUUCUGCCCGAAAACUGACCGGCUAUUUCGUAUUAUGAGCGUUUCAUUUGACAGAUCUAAGCGGACACAACUGUCAAAAAGACCGUUUAAAAACAAUUCAGUUUACGGUGGCUUCAUAUUAGCUUUUAUAGAAUUGUUUUCUAAUUUAUAGCUUCAUUAUUGUAAUUUGGUUAUUAUUUCUAUUUCUAUGUCAGUUUUUAUUAUGUUUAAAACAUGUUUGUGCAGUUAUUUCGAUUGUUUUUGUUUCGUUUUAAUUUUAAUUAUGUGUGAUGAACUCGAAGUAUUGGAGUUUUUGGAAAUGUGUGCACCCUACGAAAAAGAAGUAAGGAAAGUGAAAAGACGGCGAUUACGCGACCAAUCCAAUAAAAAUGAACAAUUUAGAAAACGUUAUAAUCUAAAUAAAGAUUUGGUGCGUAAUAUGCGUGCGAACUCAUAUGCCGGUAUCAUCGAAAUUUACAGACCUACCAGUGGAAACUAAGGUUUUAUAAUUGGAAUUUGGAAUGCUGGGUGUAUUGGGCUGUAUUUGACUGUACACAUGCCACCCCAUUGUAAAUUAAGAAGAGAUAUUACUGUAGAAAACAAUACCAUUCAUUAAAUAUAUAAUUGGUUAGUAAUGCUGACAUGGAGAUUAUAAGUGUGGAUGCCAACUGGAACUGGAGCUACUCAUGACAUUUGGGCAAACCAGAGGCAUUAAGCAACAUCUAGAGGACUUAAGCUGGAAUAAAUCCUUAUGAUUACUUGGAGAUCCAGGAUAUGCUUUAGAGAAGUAUACUCCCAUCUCAAAUGCUAUACCAGGACCACAAGAAGCAUAUUACACUGUAAGAACAUGGAAUAUCAUUGAGAGCACAAUUGGGCUUCUAGAUUUAGAUGCCUACAUGU